UACAGAGGGGGCAAGCGUUGUUCGGAAUUACUGGGCGUAAAGGGCGCGUAGGCGGCCUGUUAAGUCGAACGUGAAAUCCCCGGGCUCAACCCGGGAACUGCGUCCGAUACUGGCAGGCUUGAAUCCGGGAGAGGGAUGCGGAAUUCCAGGUGUAGCGGUGAAAUGCGUAGAUAUCUGGAGGAACACCGGUGGCGAAGGCGGCAUCCUGGACCGGCAUUGACGCUGAGGCGCGAAAGCCAGGGAGCAAACGGGG
rnacentral:rRNA from 1 species